rnacentral:misc_RNA from 1 species
GAUGAAGAACGUAGCGAAAUGCGAUAAGUAAUGUGAAUUGCAGAAUUCAGUGAAUCAUCGAAUCUUUGAACGCACAUUGCGCCCGCUAGUAUUCUGGCGGGCAUGCCUGUUCGAGCGUCAUUUCAACCCUCAGGCCCCCAGUGCCUGGCGUUGGGGAUCGGCCGCUGGCGUCCUUCGGGGCGCCUGGCCGGCCCCGAAAUCUAGUGGCGGUCUCGCUGUAGUCCUCCUCUGCGUAGUAGCACAACCUCGCAGCUGGAACUCGGCGGUGGCCAUGCCGUUAAACACCCCACUUCUGAAAGUUGACCUCGGAUCAGGUAGGAAUACCCGCUGAACUUAAGCAUAUCAAUAAGCGGAGGA